UACGAAGGGUGCAAGCGUUACUCGGAAUUACUGGGCGUAAAGGGUGCGUAGGUGGUGGGGUAAGUCGGAUGUGAAAGCUCGGAGCUCAACUCCGAAAUGGCAUUGGAAACUACCCUGCUAGAGGAUUGGAGGGGGGACUGGAAUACUUGGUGUAGCAGUGAAAUGCGUAGAUAUCAAGUGGAACACCAGUGGCGAAGGCGAGUCCCUGGACAAUACCUGACACUGAGGCACGAAAAGCUAGGGGAGCAAACAGG
rnacentral:rRNA from 1 species